GAUGAACGCUAGCUACGGGCUUAACACAUGCAAGUCGAGGGGAAACGGCAUUAAGUGCUUGCACUUUUUGGACGUCGACCGGCGCACGGGUGAGUAACGCGUAUCCAACCUUCCCAUGACUAAGGGAUAACCUGCCGAAAGGCAGACUAAUACCUUAUGGUCUUCACUGACGGCAUCAGAUGUGAAGUAAAGAUUUAUCGGUUAUGGAUGGGGAUGCGUCUGAUUAGCUUGUUGGCGGGGUAACGGCCCACCAAGGCAACGAUCAGUAGGGGUUCUGAGAGGAAGGUCCCCCACAUUGGAACUGAGACACGGUCCAAACUCGUACGCGAGGCAGCAGUGAGGAAUAUUGGUCAAUGGGCGAGAGCCUGAACCAGCCAAGUCGCGUGCAGGAUGACGGCCUUAUGGGUUGUAAACUGCUUUUGUAUGGGGAUAAAGUCAAUCACGUGUGAUUGUUUGCAGGUACCAUACGAAUAAGGACCGGCUAAUUCCGUG
rnacentral:rRNA from 1 species